AGUCGAACGGCAGCGGGGUAGUGCUUGCACUACUGCCGGCGAGUGGCGAACGGGUGAGUAAUAUAUCGGAACGUACCGAGUAAUGGGGGAUAACCAAUCGAAAGAUUGGCUAAUACCGCAUACGUCCUGAGGGAGAAAGCGGGGGAUCGCAAGACCUCGCGUUAUUCGAGCGGCCGAUAACUGAUUAGCUAGUUGGUGGGGUAAAGGCCUACCAAGGCGACGAUCAGUAGCGGGUCUGAGAGGACGAUCCGCCACACUGGGACUGAGACACGGCCCAGACUCCUACGGGAGGCAGCAGUGGGGAAUUUUGGACAAUGGGGGCAACCCUGAUCCAGCCAUGCCGCGUGUAUGAAGAAGGCCUUCGGGUUGUAAAGUACUUUUGUUAGGGAAGAAAAGGGAAGUGCUAAUACCACUUUUUGCUGACGGUACCUAAAGAAUAAGCACCGGCUAA
rnacentral:rRNA from 1 species